UAGUCCACGCCGUAAACGAUGUCAACUAGCCGUUGGGGGAAUUUAAUCCUUUAGUGGCGCAGCUAACGCAUUAAGUUGACCGCCUGGGGAGUACGCGCGCAAGCGUAAAACUCAAAGGAAUUGACGGGGCCCGCACAAGCGGUGGAGCAUGUGGUUUAAUUCGAUGCAACGCGAAGAACCUUACCAGCCCUUGACAUCCUGCGAACUUUCUAGAGAUAGAUUGGUGCCUUCGGGAACGCAGUGACAGGUGCUGCAUGGCUGUCGUCAGCUCGUGUCGUGAGAUGUUGGGUUAAGUCCGGCAACGAGCGCAACCCACAUCCUUAGUUGCCAGCAGUUCGGCUGGGCACUCUAGGGAAACUGCCCGUGAUAAGCGGGAGGAAGGUGUGGGAUGACGUCAAGUCCUCAUGGGCCCUUACGGGGUUGGGGCUACACACGUGCUACAAUGGGCCGGCACAGA
rnacentral:rRNA from 1 species